rnacentral:misc_RNA from 1 species
GUGAGUCAUCGAAUCUUUGAACGCACAUUGCGCCCCUUGGUAUUCCGAGGGGCAUGCCCGUUCGAGCGUCAUUAUAACCCCUCAAGCCUAGCUUGGUGUUGGGGCCUGCUGUGACCGGCAGCCCUUAAAAUCAGUGGCGGUGCUAUCAGGCUCUAAGCGUAGUAAUACUUCUCGCUACAGGGUCUCGGUGGAUGCUUGCCAUCAACCCCUAAUUUUCUAUGGUUGACCUCGGAUCGGGUAGGGAUACCCGCUGAACUUAAGCAUAUCAAUAAGCGGAGGA